CGGGUGAGUAACGCGUGGGCAACCUGCCUCAUACCGUGGGAUAACAGUUAGAAAUGACUGCUAAUACCGCAUAAGACCACAGCUCUGCAUGGAGCAGUGGUAAAAACUCCGGUGGUAUGAGAUGGACCCGCGUCUGAUUAGGUAGUUGGUGGGGUAACGGCCUACCAAGCCGACGAUCAGUAGCCGGCCUGAGAGGGUGAUCGGCCACAUUGGGACUGAGACACGGCCCAAACUCCUACGGGAGGCAGCAGUGGGGAAUAUUGCACAAUGGGGGAAACCCUGAUGCAGCGACGCCGCGUGAAGGAAGAAGUAUCUCGGUAUGUAAACUUCUAUCAGCAGGGAAGAUAAUGACGGUACCUGACUAAGAAGCCCCGGCUAACUACGUGCCAGCAGCCGCGGUAAUACGUAGGGGGCAAGCGUUAUCCGGAUUUACUGGGUGUAAAGGGAGCGUAGGCGGCGGAGCAAGUCAGAAGUGAAAGCCCGGGGCUCAACCCCGGGACGGCUUUUGAAACUGCCCUGCUUGAUUUCAGGAGAGGUAAGCGGAAUUCCUAGUGUAGCGGUGAAAUGCGUAGAUAUUAGGAGGAACACCAGUGGCGAAGGCGGCUUACUGGACUGACAAUGACGCUGAGGCUCGAAAGCGUGGGGAGCAAACAGGAUUAGAUACCCUGGUAGUCCACGCCGUAAACGAUGAA
rnacentral:rRNA from 1 species